rnacentral:rRNA from 1 species
GGAUUGUAGUCUGCAACCCGACUACAUGAAGCUGGAAUCGCUAGUAAUCGCGGAUCAGAAUGCCGCGGUGAAUACGUUCCCGGGUCUUGUACACACCGCCCGUCACACCAUGGGAGUCGGAAAUGCCCGAAGUCUGUGACCCAACCUGAGAGGGAGGGAGCAGCCGAAGGCAGGUCAGAUGACUGGGGUGAAGUCGUAACAAGGUACC